UACGGGGGGAGCAAGCGUUGUUCGGAUUUACUGGGCGUAAAGGGCGCGUAGGCGGUCAGCACAAGUCAGUUGUGAAAUCUCCGGGCUUAACUCGGAAAGGUCAACUGAUACUGUGCGACUAGAGUGCAGAAGGGGCAACUGGAAUUCUCGGUGUAGCGGUGAAAUGCGUAGAUAUCGGGAGGAACAUCAGUGGCGAAGGCGGCCCUCUGGUCCAGUACUGACACUCAAGUGCGAAAGCGUGGGGAGCAAACAGG
rnacentral:rRNA from 1 species